UCUGUAAUGCAGCAGUUGCCAUGCUAGUGGAAUCUAAUAAACUCUUGUCUGCAGUACUUCUGGAAGUGCACACCUGUUCAGUUCUGCUGCCCAAAGAUGCGACCUAGGCACUUCUUCAGGGUUUUUUCCUUCCGUGGUUACUGAGCUUGGAGACAAAACCGAGGGAUGUGCCUGAUCCCCAUGCAGAGUGUGAGCAAAGCUCGAAGCCCUGAGAGCCGCGGAGCUGCGAACGCAGAGAUCGCUGUGGGUGCACACGGAGCGAGGGAAGCUCGACCUUAGCAACACAGCAGGAACAUCAGCAGUGGUAAAAACAACGCUGUCCCCAGGGAACAGUGAGAUCCAGGGGCUGCUCCAGCCUGCUGGCUUCUUGGCUGGAGCAGUUUGUCUCUGGAGAGCUCAGAGCGGAGGAGAAGCCGGUGUUCAGCUGUGUGUGAGCAACGAGGGGCACUGCACUGCUUUCCCUUGCUGGAAGAAAUCCAUUACAGAGAGGAUCACCCUGCCAUGGAUGCUGGCUGGCACAGGGCCAGGCUCACUUCCAGGGCCAGAGAAGCGCUGCUGGCUCUGAUGCAGGUGGAGAAGAGCCUGACGGUGUCUGGAAGGUGGAAUGGGCAAUCUGCAGGUGGGACAGGAGGUCUGGGAAGAGGGACAGGAUGUCUGGGAGGAGACACAGGAGGUCUGCAGGUGGGACAGGAUGUCUGGGAGGUGGGACAGGAGGUCUGCAGGUGGGACAGGAGGUCUGGGAAGAGGGACAGGAGAUCUGGGAGGAGACACAGGAGGUCUGCAGGUGGGACAGGAUGUCUGGGAGGUGGGACAGGAGGUCUGGGAGGUGGGACAGGAGGUCUGCAUGUGGGACAGGAGGUCUGGGAGAUCUCACAGGAGGUCUGCAUGUGGGACAGGAGGUCUGGGAGGUGGGACAGUGAGGUCCACAGUUGACAGUGCUGCUGUCUCUGGCCCCUGGAGCAGUGCAGGAUGCUCCAAGCUGCCCAGAGCAGGGGUUAGUGCUUUCUCUCCCCCAGCUAAAAUCUAUCCUGAAACAUUUCUGAUACCAAAAUGCAUCAAGUUAAGCACAAGAGCAGAAGUCUCUGGUGACGUGGAUGACUUUUUGCAGGACAAAGACAAACAAUAACAAACCUUGGCAUAGGAAUGGGCAUGGAAACUGUGCUAAUAGUGCACAGAUCAAAUCAAAGUGUCAAAACAACAUCCCCGGCACUCCAGCGGCAGCUCCUGCCCACCAGGCGGACAUGUGAGGAGCAGGUAUUUUUAGCUGAAAAGAAUAACCAGCAAGGGUCAUGUAGUGAAGAAAAUAAGACAAUGGUAAGAAGAAACCAAGGCACUUCUGCUGGAACCUGGGAGGAUUGGUAUUACACCAGUCACCCCCCUGCCCCAGGAAGAAGUACAGAAAGGGACAGGAAGAUGUGGCAGUCAAGUUUCUGGCUCUGUGACAGAGUUAUUAGAAUUCUCUGAGCCCUAAACCCUCUUCCUGGGUGGUUUUUAAUUCUGACUCUGUGCUAAGCAUUAAGCACUAUCAGUGCAUGCAGAAAAGAGCCCUAGAAAUGUGCUGCUUGAGCAGGAGUGCCCAGCUGAAGUCUUUCUCCGCUUACAUGAUUAAUCUGUCUCUGAAGAGCAGCUAUUACACACUGGGAUGGUGUCUGGACAGUUGUGUGACAUCUUCUGUGCAGGAUGCGAGCAGUGUGGAUGACAAAGGCACGCGGGCGGCCCUGUGCAGAGGUGGGAGAUGACUCAGAGCUGUGGCACGGUGUAAUGGAGCUGCUCCUGGAAAACCUGCUUCAAAAGAGUCAGGACACAGGAGAUCAGCAGCGAUGCUUGAUGGAGGCAAUACCUGAGGUAGGAAGUACUUAAGCAGAUUGUAAUGAGGAUGUGGGUUCAUUACCGGAGCCUCCCAGGGUGAUGAGGGAAUCGCUCCUGUUGCACUGCAGCCCCAGUCGGAAGCCGCACCGGGCCACUGGAGCCGCUGUCCUAGCGUGAUUCCUACCCAUGGAACAAUAUUGCUUGCUGGUGCAUGAACAGAACAUGUCUCCUCUGAUUGUUUUUUCCUGCUCUUUUGAAGACAGAUGCUGUCUUAGGAUCCCCACUGGUACAAGGUCCUCUCUGAGGUGCAGUUACAGCUCUUUAUACCUAACCUCUAGCACUGGGAACUAGUGGUGAAAAGAAAUAAAUCCAAGUGGGGAUGUUUUAGCACGGAGUUUGCUCUGGUUCUGAAUGAAGUCUUGAGAGUGGACAAGAGACUGACCUCAAUAGCCUUUUCCAUGGCCCUGCUCCAGGGUGCUUCAUCUGUAAUUAUCCUUUUUUAAUUCAGGGAGCUACUGAACUGUGAUGAGAUUCCUGCAGUGGCUUUAACUCCCGCUCCUGCAGGAUAUCAGGGAAAGAGACACCUCUUCAGGAAAAUGCUGAUGGCUUUUUGCUCUGCUAAGAAAAUGCCACCUGGUCCAGCUGUCUUCUCCAUCUCAGGUGUUCAUCCAUGAGCAUGUGCCUUUGCUUGAACCAGCUCUGUCCUGGGAAAUUUCCUCUGCCCAGAAACUGGCAACUCUUAAAUGCCAAGAAUUAAAUUGUUGAGGGGUUUUAAACUUUACGUAUUGAAUUAUGACAAGACAAGCGACAGAAAGUGAGGAAGAGUUAAUUAUGUGACAGGGAGAGAAAGUGCCACUGUGCAGCAAUCCUUUCAAAGGCAAACAGAAAUAUUUAUAGACUCAGGACUGCACAACUUGCUGCGCUCUGACUCGAGAUGUGUUACUGAUUUACGGGGCAGCAUUUUCGGAUGGGGCUCUGGUGUGGACCACAGCUCUGCUGAAAGCAACAACACUGUGAGAGAGUGGAGCAAGUCGAGAAGGUUUUGGAGAAGAAUAUGAAUUAUCUCACCCAGAGAACAAAGAAUAGACGGACCCUGAGCACUGAGGGAAAUUGCACAACAACGUGCAGGUGAUUCUCCAAACCUGCAUGGUUUAAUGGGGGGAUUUUAUACUUUUGAGAAAAAAUAUAUUUCUUGAAUAUCCCCAUAGGUACAGUCUUGCUACUUAUUUCUGCGAUUUAAAUUGUUGCUUCUGUUUUUUAAGGCCAGGGUGAACGGACAAGCAUUUAAUCAGCCAAGUUGGAUGGAGGAGCACAGGUACCACUGAGACUCGUGGGACAACUCUACAAUGAGCAAGAACAUUAAAGGCUGCUAUAAAGAAACAAGCUCCUGUGCCCUCAGAUGGACAGAAUUAUAAAAAUCCCCACAGCAUCCCCAAAGCACUGAAUUAACUGGAGAAGGAGCUGUGUUUAAUGUGAUGGAUGGAGCCCGUGGGCCCCAUCGUGGGGACGUGGCCGUCAGGGCACCGGUACCUGCCGCCGCUCCCCACAGCACCUCCCCGGUAACAUCAGACAGGAUAAUUACGUACUUAAAUCUGGGUGCUUUACUACACAGAAAUUCAUCUGCUACCCUCAGAGUCCUUGAAGUUAAAGAGGGAUUUGAGUUACUGACAUAAUUUGUUCCCUGAGGGCUGUGGAAAGCAGAGAGAAGCACAUCUGAAUAAUAACUCUUCCACCACGU